UACGAAGGGGGCUAGCGUUGCUCGGAAUUACUGGGCGUAAAGGGCUCGUAGGCGGCCAACUAAGUCAGACGUGAAAUCCCUCGGCUUAACCGGGGAACUGCGUCUGAUACUGGAUGGCUUGAGUUCGGGAGAGGGAUGCGGAAUUCCAGGUGUAGCGGUGAAAUGCGUAGAUAUCUGGAGGAACACCGGUGGCGAAGGCGGCAUCCUGGACCGACACUGACGCUGAGGCGCGAAAGCUAGGGGAGCAAACGGG
rnacentral:rRNA from 1 species